GUAGAGUAGUGGUCAGUAUGGGUAGGGAUCCUUGUAGAGUAGUGGUCAGUAUGGGUAGGGGGUCCUUGUAGAGAAGUGGUCAGUAUGGGUAGGGGUCCUUGUAGAGUAGUGGUCAGUAUGGGUAGGAAUCCUUGUAGAGUAGUGGUCAGUAUGGGUCCUUGUAGAGUAGUGG